CUCGCCUAUGAAUGACUUCAAAAAGGAUUAGAAUGAGAAGAGUAAUAUGGUAAUUAGUUUAACCAAAACAAAUGAUUUCGACUCAUUAGACUAUGUAUUACUCAUAAUUACCAAU
rnacentral:tRNA from 1 species